CCUACGGGUGGCAGCAGUGAGGAAUAUUGGUCAAUGGGCGGAAGCCUGAACCAGCCAAGUAGCGUGCAGGAUGAAGGCCCUACGGGUUGUCAACUGCUUUUAUACGGGGACAACGCGCCUUACGUGUAGGGCUUUGCAUGUACCGUAUGAAUAAGGACCGGCUAAUUCCGUGCCAGCAGCCGCGGUAAUACGGAAGAUCCGGGCGUUAUCCGGAUUUGUUGGGUUUAAAGGGAGCGUAGGCCGCAUGUCAAGCGUGCUGUGAAAUGUCCGGGCUCAACCCGGGCCGUGCCGCGCAAACUGGCGUGCUUGAGUCGGCGGAAAGCAGGCGGAAUGCGCGGUGUAGCGGUGAAAUGCUUAGAUAGGACGAAGAACGCCGAUUGCGAAGGCAGCUUGCUGCAGCGGAACUGACGCUGAUGCUCGAAAGCGGGGGUAUCGAACAGGAUUAGAUACCCGUGUAGUC
rnacentral:rRNA from 1 species